UACAGAGGGUGCAAACGUUGUUCGGAAUUACUGGGCGUAAAGCGUGUGUAGGCGGCCGCGUAAGUCGGAUGUGAAAGCCCUGGGCUCAACCCAGGAAGUGCACUCGAUACUGCGUGGCUCGAGUACUGGAGAGGUUGGUGGAAUUCUCGGUGUAGAGGUGAAAUUCGUAGAUAUCGAGAGGAACACCGGUGGCGAAGGCGGCCAACUGGACAGAUACUGACGCUGAGACACGAAAGCGUGGGGAGCAAACAGG
rnacentral:rRNA from 1 species